AACGAACGCUGGCGGCGCGUCUUAAGCAUGCAAGUCGGACGGCAAGAAGAGAGCUUGCUCUCUUCCCUAGAGUGGCGGACUGGUGAGUAACACGUGGGUGACGUACCCUUUAGCUGGGGAUAGCCGGUAGAAAUACCGGGUAAUACCGAAUAAUCUUGCUUCUUUGAUGUGAAGUAAGGAAAAGAGCUUCGGCUUCACUGAAGGAACGGCCCGCGCACUAUUAGCUAGUUGGUGAGGUAACGGCCCACCAAGGCAACGAUAGUUAUCCGGCCUAAGAGGGUGAACGGACACAUUGGGACUGAGAUACGGCCCAGACUCCUACGGGAGGCAGCAGUGGGGAAUAUUGGGCAAUGGGGGAAACCCUGACCCAGCAACGCCGCGUGAAGGAAGAAGGCUUUCGGGUUGUAAACUUCUUUUACCAGGGACGAAGAACGUGACGGUACCUGGAGAAAAAGCAACGGCUAACUACGUG
rnacentral:rRNA from 1 species